rnacentral:rRNA from 1 species
GACGAACGCUGGCGGCGUGCUUAACACAUGCAAGUCGAACGGAAAGGCCCCUUCGGGGGUACUCGAGUGGCGAACGGGUGAGUAACACGUGAGUAACCUGCCCUUGACUUCGGGAUAACUUCAGGAAACUGGGGCUAAUACCGGAUAGGAAUCCUUGCUGCAUGGUGGGGGUUGGAAAGCUUCGGCGGUUUUGGAUGGACUCGCGGCUUAUCAGCUUGUUGGUGGGGUAGUGGCUUACCAAGGCUUUGACGGGUAGCCGGCCUGAGAGGGCGACCGGCCACAUUGGGACUGAGAUACGGCCCAGACUCCUACGGGAGGCAGCAGUGGGGAAUAUUGCACAAUGGGCGGAAGCCUGAUGCAGCAACGCCGCGUGCGGGAUGACGGCCUUCGGGUUGUAAACCGCGUUCAGCAGGGGCGAAGCUUGUGGUGACGGUACCUGCAGAAGAAGCACCGGCUAACUACGUG